UGUGGUUUUUACCAUGUGGACAGUGGCCUGUUAUUAAAUGUCGCUGGGUUGAAUUUUCAAGUCAAGCCUGGGCUUUGAAUAAGGACCCACUAGAAAAACAAGAUUCUGAAGACUGGAAGGAGACCAGUCAGGGGACUGUGCAGUGGUCCAGCUCACACAGGUCUGAAAGGAAGAGCAGGAUACAUCCAAAGGAUCAGUGGAGUCACGACAGGCAGGACAUCCUUACCUGGGGAAGUCUUAGUGAAACUUGCUGGCUGCUAACUGGAGGAAUGGAUGUCCCUGCUCCACUGGUGGUCUUGGCUAUGUGAUUCAUUUUCAGUGGAAUGGUGGACUGUAUAGAAGUUGGAAGAGGAAGUGGGGAAUCGUGAAGAAGUAGCUCUAGCUGGUGAUUCACAGUACAGCAUACAAUCAAAAUGGAUGCGAUCUUGCUGCGGCUGUUAGGUGACUGAAGGCUACAUGGUUCUCUGAGUUGCAGUUCAGCAGAACAUCACCUGACUGGCUUCCUUUGUAUACGGAGGUUUAGUUUUGUGUCUUUUUCUUUUUGGGGGAUGGAUGGGUGAUGGUGCCAACAGAAUGACUAAAAGCUUCUCUCUGAAACUAUGGGGCAAGGGAUGCAAAAAUAAUACCAUGAGUUAUGGUUGUUGUACAUCUGUGCAUUAAGUAUCAUUAACAUAUAACUUGUAAAAUGUCAGCCUCUCCCAUCUUAACUCAGGCAUGAACUUCUGUGCUCAUGGACAGACACAGAGUUAAAGUCUGCUACCCAAAAGCCAAAGCAGGAGUCUUGUGUGUGCUGGGAUGUGUUCUAGGCUAAUGGAAAAUCCAUGGCACCACACAGAAGAACCUGCUAGUUCAUGGGAUCUACUGGAAGCUUUUGCUUCUCCCUCUAAGCAGGAAGAGGGCAACCAUGUCACCUCUGUAAUUCCCUGUGUCCCCUUUCUCUUCUGUUCUCACUGGCUGUAUCUCAGAUCCACUACUGACAAUUACCAGUGAAAUCUCAAUUCAAUGAGGCUUAGUGGUUGCAUUUUAAUAAAUAUCAAAAGUGUACAUUAGCUCUUAUAGGUUCUAUCAUAGAUAGUUAUCUCAUUUUCCCCAUUAAGGCUUGGUUUCAGUUCAGAAUUCCUCUAGAAGGUUUCAUGGUUACUGCAGUGUAUAAAGGAAGAACCCUGCACUCCAGCUCACAGGCUGGGAAACAAACUGAAGUUGUUUGAUUUUUACAGUUUAUCAUUAAUUGAAAAGGAAACGAAAUGUGCUUCUCUGUCACAGACAGAUUUCCCUUUAUAUCAAGCAGUCACUUUCAUUUUUUUAUCCUGUCCCCCAAUUUCAGUAAGAAAAACAGAGGUUAUGAGAACUCCCUAUUCAAACAUGUACACUGAAUGAAAUCAUUUUUCUGUUGUUUGGCUAAAGUAUGGACACUGGGGAAUUUUAUUGCUUCUAGUCUGCUUCAGAUGAACAAACUAGAUAACCCUGCUAGCACUAUCUUUAAAACAAAAUAAACAACUUA